UACGGAGGGUGCAAGCGUUAAUCGGGAUUACUGGGCGUAAAGCGCACGCAGGCGGUCUGUUAAGUCAGAUGUGAAAUCCCCGGGCUUAACCUGGGAACUGCAUUUGAAACUGGCAGGCUUGAGUCUUGUAGAAGGGGGUAGAAUUCCAGGUGUAGCGGUGAAAUGCGUAGAGAUCUGGAGGAAUACCGGUGGCGAAGGCGGCCCCCUGGACAAAGACUGACGCUCAGGUGCGAAAGCGUGGGGAGCAAACAGG
rnacentral:rRNA from 1 species